rnacentral:rRNA from 1 species
UACGUAGGGGGCAAGCGUUGUCCGGAAUCAUUGGGCGUAAAGAGCGCGUAGGCGGCCCAGUAAGUCCGCUCUGAAAGUCAGGGGCUCAACCCCUGGAUGCGGGUGGAUACUGCUGGGCUAGAGUCCGGAAGAGGUGAGUGGAAUUCCUGGUGUAGCGGUGAAAUGCGCAGAUAUCAGGAGGAACACCGAUGGCGAAGGCGGCAUCCUGGACCGGCAUUGACGCUGAGGCGCGAAAGCCAGGGGAGCAAACGGG